GUCUAAUUCUCUGUUAUAGUAAGGAAAUGACUUAGUUCCUUCAAAUAUCUUUAAUAAUAGUUAUUUGUUCUUCGAAAAUUUCAUACAUAUGUAUAGACUGUGUUGGUCAUACAUCCAUUUUCUCUCCCAAUCUCCCUGGGGUGGGGGAUCCAAUACCCCAACACAUAUCCAUCCCAACUUUAUUAUUAUUAUUGCUAUUGUUGUUGUUGUUAUUGCUGCUGUUGUUUUUUAACCCACUGAGUCCAAUAAGCACUGCUCGUAUGUGCAUGAGUGUGUAGGUGUGCAGUCAUCCACUGGGGCAGGAACAACUACUUAUCAAUGGUCACCUUCCCAAAGAAAAGUGACUCUCCUUCCACCAGCGGCCAUCAACUGCUGGUAGAUACUCAGGACCCAAAGCCCAAGGCUGUCACCCACAGUGGACUGGACCUUCCCAGCUGCUGCCUACAGAGGAGGAAGCCAUUCCCAAUAACCUUCGAGGCCGUGAAUUAGACACCUGACCGACAUUCCUCAGAGACAGAAACAGUUCCGCAAGCCAGGGUGCACACCCAGAGGCUAAUGAAAAUAGUACGAAUAACUGACUGCCUAGCUUCGACAUUACCAGCAAAAGCUCACCUGUCUUAAAGCUGCACUCUCUUAAAUCAGCUCCUGCGUCGUCGGAACCCCUUGCCGCCUCUGGUCAUCUGUAGAGCUUUUGUUCUGAUGAGCGCAGUUGUAACCUGCUCGCAACUCGUUCCGUUUACCGUCAGGUCAGCUUGUGUGGACCAUCAUGCCAAACCCACUGAGUAUCUCUCCACUUUGUGUGAGUGAAUUUGUUGUUUUGUACACUUUAUUUUGUCCUCCAAAUAAACCAACCAGUGAGACCAUUUUGCUGGAACAUUAAGCUCCUGUCACGAGUAGAGUAAAUUUACAUAUAUCUACUGCCCUCCCCCCUUCAAUUCUGCUCAGUAUUGAAGAGAGCUGAGGCACCUCUAGCCCAGUUCAUCGGCAAAGGUGAGAAGAAUCCUCCAGGAGAACUCUGAAUAGUAACACCCAUAUAACUCAGCCUUCUCUCAUCCCCUCAUCCUACCGGGUUCUAAACAAAAGAAACUUUCAUUUUUAUUUUAAAAAAAAGUAUUUUUAAAGUUUGCUUACAGGGGGUUGGAGAGAUGGCUCAAUGGUCACAUGCAGAACACUGACUGCUCUUCCAGACGUCCUGAGUUCAAUUCCCAGCACCCACAUGGUGCCUCACAAGCAUCCAUAAUGGGAUCCGAUGCCCUCUUCUGGUGUGUCUGAAGACUGCGACGGUGUACUCACAUACAUUAAAAAACGCCUACAGGCUGGUGAUAUUUCUUAGUGGGUAGAGGCACCUGCCACCAGUUCUUGGCAUCCACCUGGUAUGAAGAAAUAACUGAUUCCCUCAAACUGAUUUGAGCACUGCCAUGAGCUCCCCCAAAAGUCAAUAAAUGAAUGAGUA
ensembl:lncRNA